rnacentral:lncRNA from 1 species
GUUCAUAUGAUACAACUGGUCGAUCUUCCUCCAAUAGGGUUAUUCCGAUGACAUUCUCUGUUUCACCCAAAUAUGUUUGUUUAUUAGGGUUACUCUGAUGCCAUUCUCUGUUUCAGCCAAAUCAAGCCCAUUUGGGAGGCGCGUGCAACAGUUGUUUGGCUUGAUAAAAUUUAUCACCAUGUUCGUUUUCCACCAGAUGUGAGAUCCAAAAUUGUCCCGUUUAUUCGUUAUGAUGUGCCUGAUUGAUGUAUCAUAUCAAAAAGGUCUAACAAACAUGCCCUAAGACUGUUAUAUUAAUAUAUUCAUAUAGUGUUUUUUGUUUUUGAAAGGUUACCUUGAUGAUUAAAGUUUUGUGUUGAUUUAUACUUAAUGAAAAUCUUAAUAAUACUUAAAUGACAUUUAGAUGCAGUCCAUAAACCGCAUGCUUAAACUAAAAGUACUAAAUUUGGAACAAUUGAUAUAGAUGAUGUUCCAGGUAGGUCUAUGAGGCUUUGAUAUAUAAAGGUUAUUUCUCUUUAUUGUCGUCUUUUUUAUGUUUUUAGUAACUAUGACGCAUUUCAUUAAACUGGGCAUCUACAUAACAUAUGUUUUCUUUAUAUGUUAGUUAGAAUUUAGGUUAUUGAGGAUGAUGUUCAAAAAAAGAUGAGCACCAUCAUAAGCAUGAUCAUCAUACCAUCAUGAGUUAUUUUACUCAGUUAUGCAUAAUUGUUGUUUAGGAGUAAUGUUUUUUUUCCUGUUCAAUACUUCAUGAUGAUACCCAUGACCCUGGGUAUCUUCAGUUAGCAUAAUUUGUGAUGGGAGCUUAGAUCUUGAAAAGGUAAAUACUUCAUGUUUGUUGUAAUACCUUUUCAAACUUUCUCAACUUUAAAACCAACUACUAUUUGUUCCAAUAAACUUUAUUGUACAUGUCUUUAACAUAUAUUUUUUUAAAUUAGUUUAGCAUUUCUUAAACAUGUAUUCACUGGUGGAAAGUUGAAUGCAGCACUUUCAAGAGUAGAAGUAAAAUUACUAAUAUUAGAUAGAGGCGGUUAAGUUACAAAUUAAAAGACAGAUAUUAUAUACAAGGAACUAUUUAGAUAUUUAUGAUUACUUUAUAAUACAUUGUGACUUGUAAUUGUAAUUUUUUUAUUUAAUGUAAUAUCUAAUUUUGUU